rnacentral:misc_RNA from 1 species
GAUGAAGAACGCAGCGAAAUGCGAUAAGUAAUGUGAAUUGCAGAAUUCAGUGAAUCAUCGAAUCUUUGAACGCACAUUGCGCCCCCUGGUAUUCCGGGGGGCAUGCCUGUUCGAGUGUCAUUUCACCACUCAAGCCUCGCUUGGUAUUGGGCGACGCGGUCCGCCGCGCGCCUCAAAUCGACCGGCUGGGUCUUUCGUCCCCUCAGCGUUGUGGAAACUAUUCGCUAAAGGGUGCCGCGGGAGGCCACGCCGUAAAACAACCCCAUUUCUAAGGUUGACCUCGGAUCAGGUAGGGAUACCCGCUGAACUUAAGCAUAUCAAUAAGCGGAGGA